rnacentral:rRNA from 1 species
GACGUAGGGCGCGAGCGUUGUCCGGAUUUAUUGGGCGUAAAGAGCUCGUAGGCGGCUUGUCGCGUCGAGUGUGAAAUCCUGCGGCUCAACUGCAGGCUUGCAGGCGAAACUGCCGUGCUGGAGUGUGGGAGAGGUGCGUGGAAUUCCUGGUGUAGCGGUGAAAUGCGUAGAGAUCCGGAAGAACACCGGUGGCGAAGGCGGCCUGCUGGGCAGUUGCUGACACUGAGGCGCGAAAGCGUGGGGAGCAAACAGG